rnacentral:rRNA from 1 species
AGUGAACGCUGGCGGUAGGCCUAACACAUGCAAGUCGAACGGCAGCACAGUAAGAGCUUGCUCUUACGGGUGGCGAGUGGCGGACGGGUGAGGAAUACAUCGGAAUCUACUUUUUCGUGGGGGAUAACGUAGGGAAACUUACGCUAAUACCGCAUACGACCUACGGGUGAAAGCAGGGGAUCUUCGGACCUUGCGCGAUUGAAUGAGCCGAUGUCGGAUUAGCUAGUUGGCGGGGUAAAGGCCCACCAAGGCGACGAUCCGUAGCUGGUCUGAGAGGAUGAUCAGCCACACGGGAACGGAGACAGGGUCCAGACGCCUGAGGGAGGCAGCAGUGGGGAAUAGUGGACAAUGGGGGGAAGCCUGAUCCAGCCAGACCGCGUGGGUGAAGAAGGCGUUCGGGUUGUAAAGCCCUUUUGUUGGGAAAGAAAAGCAGCAGGUUAAUACCCCGCUGUUCUGACGGUACCCAAAGAAUAAGCACCGGCUAACUUCGUG